GGCGGGGUGGGGGUCCUGGAUAAAUUGCUCGAUGUCGUCGUUGAAAGAAAAUAAAGGGAUAAAUAAAUAUGUUGCAAAGUAUAUUCUGCCUGCUUUCAGUCAUUGAAGUGUAUAAUUAAGUUAAGAAAUAGUUUUGUAAGUAAAGUUCUGUAUAGAUUUUACGAAAAGGAGGUAAAAUGCAUGUGCGGCUGCUCGCGGAUUGAGGAACUGUCCUCACAUUUGCUUUACUGAUUUGGGAAAAUCAGAAUUGGAAUGGCUGGACUGUAAUGUCAUACUGUCAAAUACGAGGUAACUCGUAAUACGUAACACAGUUCUGUUCUUCGUCGCCGGACGCGUCGAGGUCACGUGCCGGAGACUCCCAGACUGUGAAGACGCUGCUGUGCUCCUUGCACGAAUUCCAGUCAGUUCAGAAAGCAGAAUCCGUGCUCUUACAUAUUCAUCUAUGCUCCUCAGUCCACGUGAAAAAUUAAGUCAGCAUACACCUAUGAAGAGUGAGAGCUCGAACUCGAGAGAAUGACAAGACAUUACUUCUUGACACAUUAUUUUCUCGUGAAAGCAAUAAACUGUGAUCACAAACUGAAAUGUGACGUGGUAGUUAUCCCCUUUCAUUUCUCUCUGCUGCUCUAAGCCCUCUAAGAAAUCUUUAACUGUGUAGUAUGCAUUACUUAUGACAAAUGUUUAGCUGGCUUUUUUAAACAGAUGUAUUUUACUAAUCUUUUUCAUUCCCUUUGGUGAUUUAUUAUAGAUUUUAAUUCCCUGCUACAAAAUGCUAUUUUGGGUGUUUUGUUUUUGAUAAAUGUAAGUCCAAACUGCCUCUUGUUCCAGGAUUAAGUACAGAACUGUUAAUGAAAUACUGGAUAAUGUUUGCCUUGGAAUGCACCACAGACUAGCAGAUGUACACAAUUGGUGCAGCAACUAUGCCCAAUUUUUUGUAAAUAGCUCUUUACAGUUAACCUGACUAUUAUUGUUACAGCUCUUUUCAGCCGUUUAAAAACUGUGUCUGUGUUUUGUUCCUUCAACGCCCAUAAAAUAAUCGUACACCUAAGAAUUGAAUGCACACAGGCAUUGCCUGUUACAAACUACACUCCUGGAAAUUGAAAUAAGAACACCGUGAAUUCAUUGUCCCAGGAAGGGGAAACUUUAUUGACACAUUCCUGGGGUCAGAUACAUCACAUGAUCACACUGACAGAACCACAGGCACAUAGACACAG